rnacentral:rRNA from 1 species
AUUAAAGUCGAGUUGGCUUAGGGAUACGUUCGUUGGGUAGGGGAGCGUUCUGUAAGCCUGUGAAGGUGUGUCGUGAGGCAUGCUGGAGGUAUCAGAAGUGCGAAUGCUGACAUAAGUAACGAUAAAGCGGGUGAAAAGCCCGCUCGCCGGAAGACCAAGGGUUCCUGUCCAACGUUAAUCGGGGCAGGGUGAGUCGACCCCUAAGGCGAGGCCGAAAGGCGUAGUCGAUGGGAAACGGGUUAAUAUUCCCGUACUUGGUGUUACUGCGAAGGGGGGACGGAGAAGGCUAUGUUGGCCGGGCGACGGUUGUCCCGGUUUAAGCGUGUAGGUGUGUGUUCCAGGUAAAUCCGGUUCACUUUAACACUGAGGCGUGACGACGAGGCACUACGGUGCUGAAGCAACAAAUGCCCUGCUUCCAGGAAAAGCCUCUAAGCAUCAGGUAACAUCAAAUCGUACCCCAAACCGACACAGGUGGUCAGGUAGAGAAUACCAAGGCGCUUGAGAGAACUCGGGUGAAGGAACUAGGCAAAAUGGUGCCGUAACUUCGGGAGAAGGCACGCUGACACGUAGGUGAAGUGAUUUACUCAUGGAGCUGAAGUCAGUCGAAGAUACCAGCUGGCUGCAACUGUUUAUUAAAAACACAGCACUGUGCAAACACGAAAGUGGACGUAUACGGUGUGACGCCUGCCCGGUGCCGGAAGGUUAAUUGAUGGGGUCAGCGCAAGCGAAGCUCCUGAUCGAAGCCCCGGUAAAGGCGGCCGUAACUA